CUACGUGCCAGCAGCCGCGGUAAUACGUAGGGUGCGAGCGUUAAUCGGAAUUACUGGGCGUAAAGCGGGCGCAGACGGUUACUUAAGCAGGAUGUGAAAUCCCCGGGCUCAACCUGGGAACUGCGUCCUGAACUGGGUGACUAGAGUGUGUCAGAGGGAGGUAGAAUUCCACGUGUAGCAGUGAAAUGCGUAGAGAUGUGGAGGAAUACCGAUGGCGAAGGCAGCCUCCUGGGAUAACACUGACGUUCAUGCUCGAAAGCGUGGGUAGCAAACAGGAUUAGAUACCCUGGUAGUCCACGCCCUAAACGAUGUCAAUUAGCUGUUGGGCAACUUGAUUGCUUAGUAGCGUAGCUAACGCGUGAAAUUGACCGCCUGGGGAGUACGGUCGCAAGAUUAAAACUCAAAGGAAUUGACGGGGACCCGCACAAGCGGUGGAUGAUGUGGAUUAAUUCGAUGCAACGCGAAGAACCUUACCUGGUCUUGACAU
rnacentral:rRNA from 1 species